GUUGUCGUGGACGAGUGGUUAAGGCGAUGGACUAGAAAUCUUCUGGGAUAUUCCCGCGCAGGUACGAAUCCUGCCGACAUCG
rnacentral:tRNA from 1 species